CCUACGGGGGGCUGCAGUCAAGAAUCUUCCACAAUGGCCGAAAGGCUGAUGGAGCAAUGCCGCGUGCAGGAAGACGCCUCUCGGGGUGUAAACUGCUUUUAUAUGGGAAGAAUUUGUGACGGUACCAUAAGAAUAAGAGGUUGCUAACUCUGUGCCAGCAGCAGCGGUAAUACAGAGACCUCAAGCGUUAUCCGGAUUUAUUGGGCGUAAAGCGUCCGUAGGUGGUUUUAUAAGUCGAUGGUCAAAUCUUCAGGCUCAACUUGGAGGCUGCUAUCGAUACUGUAAAGCUUGAGGCUGAGAGAGGCAAGCAGAAUUCUCAGUGUAGUGGUAAUAAGCGCUGAUAUCGGGAAGAACACCAAAGGCGAAGGCAGCUUGCUGGAACAUGCCUGACACUCAUGGACGAAAGCGUGGGUAGCGAAUCGGAUUAGAUACCCCUGUAGUC
rnacentral:rRNA from 1 species